AACGAACGCUGGCGGCAGGCUUAACACAUGCAAGUCGAACGCCCCGCAAGGGGAGUGGCAGACGGGUGAGUAACGCGUGGGAAUCUACCUAGUUCUACGGAACAACAGUUGGAAACGACUGCUAAUACCGUAUACGCCCUAUGGGGGAAAGAUUUAUCGGGAUUAGAUGAGCCCGCGUAAGAUUAGCUAGUUGGUGAGGUAAUGGCUCACCAAGGCGACGAUCUUUAGCUGGUCUGAGAGGAUGAUCAGCCACACUGGGACUGAGACACGGCCCAGACUCCUACGGGAGGCAGCAGUGGGGAAUAUUGGACAAUGGGCGCAAGCCUGACGCAGCCAUGCCGCGUGAAUGAUGAAGGUCUUAGGAUUGUAAAAUUCUUUCACCGGGGACGAUAAUGACGGUACCCGGAGAAGAAGCCCCGGCUAACUUCGUGCCAGCAGCCGCGGUAA
rnacentral:rRNA from 1 species